rnacentral:rRNA from 1 species
GACGAACGCUGGCGGCGUGCUUAACACAUGCAAGUCGAACGGAAAGGCCCUGCUUUUGUGGGGUGCUCGAGUGGCGAACGGGUGAGUAACACGUGAGUAACCUGCCCUUGACUUUGGGAUAACUUCAGGAAACUGGGGCUAAUACCGGAUAGGAGCUCCUGCUGCAUGGUGGGGGUUGGAAAGUUUCGGCGGUUGGGGAUGGACUCGCGGCUUAUCAGCUUGUUGGUGGGGUAGUGGCUUACCAAGGCUUUGACGGGUAGCCGGCCUGAGAGGGUGACCGGCCACAUUGGGACUGAGAUACGGCCCGGACUCCUACGGGAGGCAGCAGUGGGGAAUAUUGCACAAUGGGCGGAAGCCUGAUGCAGCAACGCCGCGUGCGGGAUGACGGCCUUCGGGUUGUAAACCGAUUUCGCCUGUGACGAAGCGUGAGUGACGGUAAUGGGUAAAGAAGCACCGGCUAACUACGUG